rnacentral:rRNA from 1 species
UACGGAGGGUGCAAACGUUGCUCGGAAUCAUUGGGCGUAAAGCGCACGUAGGCGGCGUGAUAAGUUGGGGUGUGAAAGCCCCUGGGCUCAACCCAGGAAGUGCAUUCAAAAACUGUCACGCUUGAAUCUCGGGAGGGGGUCAGAGAAUUCCCGGUGUAGAGGUGAAAUUCGUAGAUAUUAGGAAGAACACCAGUGGCGAAGGCAGCUUACUACGGAUCAUUACACUGAGGCACGAAAAGCGUGGGGGAUCAAACAGG